GAUGAACGCUGGCGGCGUGCCUAACACAUGCAAGUCGAGCGAAGCACUUACUUUAGCUUUCUUCGGAAUGACGAAGUUUGUGACUGAGCGGCGGACGGGUGAGUAACGCGUGGGCAACCUGCCCUGUACAGGGGGAUAACAGUUAGAAAUGACUGCUAAUACCGCAUAAGCCCACAGCUUCGCAUGAAGCAGUGGGAAAAACUCCGGUGGUACAGGAUGGGCCCGCGUCUGAUUAGCUAGUUGGUAAGGUAACGGCUUACCAAGGCGACGAUCAGUAGCCGACCUGAGAGGGUGACCGGCCACAUUGGGACUGAGACACGGCCCAAACUCCUACGGGAGGCAGCAGUGGGGAAUAUUGCACAAUGGGGGAAACCCUGAUGCAGCGACGCCGCGUGAGCGAUGAAGUAUUUCGGUAUGUAAAGCUCUAUCGGCAGGGAAGAAAGUGACGGUACCUGACUAAGAAGCCCCGGCUAACUACGUG
rnacentral:rRNA from 1 species